UACGUAGGGUGCAAGCGUUGUCCGGAAUUAUUGGGCGUAAAGAGCUCGUAGGCGGUCUGUCGCGUCUGCUGUGAAAACUCAGGGCUUAACCCUGAGCUUGCAGUGGGUACGGGCAGACUAGAGUGCGGUAGGGGAGACUGGAAUUCCUGGUGUAGCGGUGAAAUGCGCAGAUAUCAGGAAGAACACCCCGUGGCGAAGGCGGUUCUCUGGGACGGUACUGACGCUGAGACGCGAAAGCGUGGGGAGCGAACAGG
rnacentral:rRNA from 1 species